GACGAACGCUGGCGGCGUGCCUAAUACAUGCAAGUAGGACGCAGUUGCGAACGGGUGAGUAACGCGUAGGUAACUACCUAUUAGAGGGGGAUAACUAUUGGAAACGAUAGCUAAUACCGCAUAGUAGUAGAUGGACCUGCGUUGUCUUAGCUAGUAGGUAGGGUAAUGGCCUACUUAGGCAACGAUACAUAGCCGACCUGAGCGGGCUAUCAGUCACACGGGAACUGAGACACUGUCCAGACUCCUACGGGAGGCAGCAGUGGGAAAUAUUGGACAAUGGGCGCAAGCCUGAUCCAACCAUGCCUCGUGUGUGAAGAAGGUCUUCGGAUUGUAAAGCACUUUAAGUUGGGAGGCGUUACCAACAGAAUAAGCACCGGCUAACUUCGUGCCAGCAGCCGCUGUAAUAC
rnacentral:rRNA from 1 species